CCUACGGGAGGCAGCAGUGGGGAAUAUUGCACAAUGGGGGAAACCCUGAUGCAGCGACGCCGCGUGAGUGAAGAAGUAAUUCGUUAUGUAAAGCUCUAUCAGCAGGGAAGAAAAUGACGGUACCUGAGUAAGAAGCCCCGGCUAACGACGUGCCAGCAGCCGCGGUAAUACGUAGGGGGCAAGCGUUAUCCGGAUUUACUGGGGGUAAAGGGAGCGUAGACGGCCGUGCAAGUCUGGAGUGAAAGGCGGGGGCUCACCCCCCGGACUUCUCUGGAAACUGUACGGCUGGAGUGCAGUAGAGGUAAGUGGCAUUCCUAGUGUAGCGGUGACAUGCGUAGAUCUUAGGCGGAACCCCAGUGGCGAAGGCGGCUUACUGGACUGUACCUGCCGUUGCGGCUCG
rnacentral:rRNA from 1 species